rnacentral:rRNA from 1 species
ACUCCUACGGGAGGCAGCAGUGGGGAAUAUUGCACAAUGGGCGCAAGCCUGAUGCAGCCAUGCCGCGUGUGUGAAGAAGGCCUUCGGGUUGUAAAGCACUUUCAGCAGUGAGGAAGGCGGAGUCGUUAAUAGCGGCCUCGUUUGACGUUAGCUGCAGAAGAAGCACCGGCUAACUCCGUGCCAGCAGCCGCGGUAAUACGGAGGGUGCGAGCGUUAAUCGGAAUUACUGGGCGUAAAGCGCAUGCAGGUGGUUUGUUAAGUCAGAUGUGAAAGCCCGGGGCUCAACCUCGGAAUAGCAUUUGAAACUGGCAGACUAGAGUACUGUAGAGGGGGGUAGAAUUUCAGGUGUAGCGGUGAAAUGCGUAGAGAUCUGAAGGAAUACCAGUGGCGAAGGCGGCCCCCUGGACAAGACUGACGCUCAGAUGCGAAAGCGUGGGGAGCAAACAGGAUUAGAUACCCUGGUAGGAUAGCG